UUUAAGAAAAUCGAGUUGACUUAGGCGUUCCUUUUAGAAAUUCAAUUCCAAAUUUGAAUUUAUUGGGCCCAGGCUUGAUUUAAGCAAUUUAUUUUAAAUUAUUUUAUUUUGGUUUUAGGAAAAAUUAUUAUAAUGAUAUUUUUAAGAUGUUUUGCUCUCAUGUUAUUUUCACUGCUCGAAAUUCAAGCUCGCGUUUGUUCUGGAUGGUAUGCUAGACUGGGCCAGUUCCCUUCCGUAGUAUCCAUUCAUCGGCAUCAAGUCUUCUGUAAUGGAGUUAUCGUUCACUUACGAUAUGUGCUGUCAACAGCUCAUUGUUUUGACGACAUGAAGGAAUAUGACCAAUAUACAGUUGCCGCCGGUGUAUUGAAGGUGCCGACAGGUGAAUCAGUGCAACAAGUACGCCGUAUAAUUAAUGUAACAAGAUAUGAUGAAUACAAUGAGAAAUCGAGAAAAAAUGAUUACGUCCUUUUGAGGUUGGAUAAACCAUUUGUGAAAACGGAGCGUGUAUACCCUCUCCCAGUUGGUUUCCUACACGGAGACGGUAUAACAAACUGCCAAACUGCUGUAUGGGGAGUAAACACAAAAAAUCAGCAGUAUACUUUAAAAUACAUAAACGUAAAGGAGCUGGACUUUAAAAUAUGCUCCUCAGUUUAUCCUGGUCAAUACGCUGGGGCGAAGUUUUGUGCGGGAGCAACAGGUGGAGUAGAUGACAUGUGCCAAUGGGGAGAAUUGCGGUAAAGAAGGACAUUAUGCCGUUUACUGGUAUUCCUACCUCCUUAGGUGGUGGGUUCAGGCAAAGAUAAAAGAACGGGAUCAACUGUGUGGCAAAUUAUUCAGAAGUGGGACUUUGGGUACAUACCCCGGACUUACUUUGCCGAUUUAUAUUACUUUGCAUGUCUUUAACUUGAAUUAAUGUUACUAUUGAAUAAAUAUAAAUUUUAUAUCUA
rnacentral:misc_RNA from 1 species